GGGGGCAGAAAAGUGACUGGUGUGCUUCCGGGUCUUCAAAACCUGAGUGGGGCGUAAGAGACGUCCCGGGUGGGUUCGAUUCCCACAUGUCCCCGCCA
rnacentral:tRNA from 3 species